GUAACUAAGCCAGUCACAAUACGGGUAGUGUUGAGCAUUGCUGUCUCUAAUGGCUGGUCUUUGCGACAGCUGGACGUGAAUAAUGCAUUUUUGCAUGGUACUCUUCAUGAAGAUGUGUAUAUGGUGCAGCCUUCGAGUUAUGUUAAUUCACAGUUUCCAAAUUAUGUCUGCAAAUUACAGAAGUCUCUCUAUGGCUUAAAGCAAGCGCCAAGAGCUUGGUACAUUGAAUUGACUACCUUUCUUAUGCAAUUGGGUUUCAAGAGGGAAUAACAACAAAUUUCUGGAUAUUUGUGUUGCGAAGCUAGCGGCUCGUUUCUCCAUUAAAGACUUGGGCAUGUUGCAUCACUUUUUGGGCAUAGAGGUCAUACCUACUGCCACUGGGUUAUUUUUAUCCCAGCAUCGAUAUAUUGCAGAUCUGCUUCACAAAUUUGAUAUGGCUGGUGCUAAAGAUGCCAUCACUCCCAUGUCUGUUUUAGAAAAAUUUGUUCUCAACGAUGGUUCUUCUUUUGCCGAUGCGACACUUUACCGGCAAAUGGUUGGAUCGCUGCAAUAUUUGGCUAUGACGCGCCCGGAUGUUUCCUUCGCUGUCAACAAAUUAUCCCAAUUUAU